rnacentral:rRNA from 1 species
UUAUGGCUCAGAACGAACGCUGGCGGCAUGGAUUAGGCAUGCAAGUCGAACGGGAGCAGCAAUGCUCCAGUGGCGCAAGGGUGAGGAACACGUGAACAACCUGCCUUCGAGUUGGGGAUAGCUUCUGGAAACGGGAGAUAAUACCGAAUAACAUCACCGGAUCGCAUGAUCUGGUGAUCAAAGCAGCAAUGCGCUUGAAGAGGGGUUCGCGUCCCAUUAGCUAGUUGGUGAGGUAACGGCCCACCAAGGCGAUGAUGGGUAGCUGGUCUGAGAGGACGAUCAGCCACAUUGGGACUGAGAUACUGCCCAGACUCCUACGGGAGGCUGCAGUCGAGAAUUUUGGGCAAUGGACGAAAGUCUGAACCCCCAGCAAUGCCGCGUGCGGGAUGAAGGUCUUCGGAUUGUAAACCGCUGUCAAGAGGGACGAAACAUGACGGUACCUCUGGAGGAAGCCACGGCUAACUACGUGCCAGCAGCCGC